rnacentral:rRNA from 1 species
GAUGAACGCUGGCGGCGUGCCUAAUACAUGCAAGUCGAGCGAACAGAUAAGGAGCUUGCUCCUUUGACGUUAGCGGCGGACGGGUGAGUAACACGUGGGUAGCCUACCUAUAAGACUGGAAUAACUCCGGGAAACCGGGGCUAAUGCCGGAUAACAUUUAGAACCGCAUGGUUCUAAAGUGAAAGAUGGUUUUGCUAUCACUUAUAGAUGGACCCGCGCCGUAUUAGCUAGUUGGUAAGGUAACGGCUUACCAAGGCAACGAUACGUAGCCGACCUGAGAGGGUGAUCGGCCACACUGGAACUGAGACACGGUCCAGACUCCUACGGGAGGCAGCAGUAGGGAAUAUUCCGCAAUGGGCGAAAGCCUGACGGAGCAACGCCGCGUGAGUGAUGAAGGUCUUCGGAUCGUAAAACUCUGUUAUUAGGGAAGAACAAAUGUGUAAGUAACUGUGCACGUCUUGACGGUACCUAAUCAGAAAGCCACGGCUAACUACGUG